rnacentral:rRNA from 1 species
AUGAACGCCGGCGGCGUGCCUAAUACAUGCAAGUCGAGCGAACGGACGAGAAGCUUGCUUUUCUGAUGUUAGCGGCGGACGGGUGAGUAACACGUGGAUAACCUACCUAUAAGACUGGGAUAACUUCGGGAAACCGGAGCUAAUACCGGAUAAUAUUUUGAACCGCAUGGUUCAAAAGUGAAAGACGGUCUUGCUGUCACUUAUAGAUGGAUCCGCGCUGCAUUAGCUAGUUGGUAAGGUAACGGCUUACCAAGGCAACGAUGCAUAGCCGACCUGAGAGGGUGAUCGGCCACACUGGAACUGAGACACGGUCCAGACUCCUACGGGAGGCAGCAGUAGGGAAUCUUCCGCAAUGGGCGAAAGCCUGACGGAGCAACGCCGCGUGAGUGAUGAAGGUCUUCGGAUCGUAAAACUCUGUUAUUAGGGAAGAACAUAUGUGUAAGUAACUGUGCACAUCUUGACGGUACCUAAUCAGAAAGCCACGGCUAACUACGUG